UAGGGAAUAUUGGACAAUGGGGGCAACCCUGAUCCAGCCAUGCCGCGUGAGUGAAGAAGGCCCUCGGGUUGUAAAGCUCUUUUGUCCGGAAAGAAAAGCAUUCGGUGAAUACCCGGAUGUUCUGACGGUACCGGAAGAAUAAGCACCGGCUAACUUCGUGCCAGCAGCCGCGGUAAUACGAAGGGUGCAAGCGUUACUCGGAAUUACUGGGCGUAAAGCGUGCGUAGGUGGUUGUUUAAGUCUGAUGUGAAAGCCCUGGGCUCAACCUGGGAAGGGCAUUGGAAACUGGGCAGCUAGAGUGCGGUAGAGGGUAGUAGAAUUCCCGGUGUAGCAGUGAAAUGCGUAGAGAUCGGGAGAAACAUCUGUGGCGAAGGCGACUGCCUGGACCAGCACUGACACUGAGGCACGAAAGCGUGGGGAGCAAACA
rnacentral:rRNA from 1 species